AGUGAACGCUGGCGGUAGGCCUAACACAUGCAAGUCGAACGGCAGCACAGUAAGAGCUUGCUCUUACGGGUGGCGAGUGGCGGACGGGGGAGGAAUACAUCGGAAGCUACUUUUUCGUGGGGGAUAACGUAGGGAAACUUACGCUAAUACCGCAUACGACCUACGGGUGAAAGCAGGGGAUCUUCGGACCUUGCGCGAUUGAAUGAGCCGAUGUCGGAUUAGCUAGUUGGCGGGGUAAAGGCCCACCAAGGCGACGAUCCGGAGCUGGUCUGAGAGGAUGAUGAGCCACAGUGGAACUGAGACACGGUCCAGACCCCUACGGGAGGCAGCAGUGGGGAAUAUUGGACAAUGGGCGCAAGCCUGAUCCAGACAUACCGCGUGGGUGAAGAAGGCCUUCGGGUUGUAAAGCCCUUUUGUUGGGAAAGAAAAGCAGCAGGUUAAUAUCCCGCUGUUCUGACGGUACCCAAAGAAUAAGCACCGGCUAACUUCGUG
rnacentral:rRNA from 1 species